GACGAACGCUGGCGGCGUGCUUAACACAUGCAAGUCGAACGGUGAAGCGCCUUCCUUUUUGGUGGGUGUGGAUGAGUGGCGAACGGGUGAGUAACACGUGAGUAACCUGCCCCCUUCUUCUGGAUAACCGCAUGAAAGUGUGGCUAAUACGGGAUAUUCUGGGUCUGUCGCAUGAUGGGUCUGGGAAAGAUAUUGUUUCGGUGGGGGAUGGGCUCGCGGCCUAUCAGCUUGUUGGUGGGGUGAUGGCCUACCAAGGCGGUGACGGGUAGCCGGCCUGAGAGGGUGGACGGUCACACUGGGACUGAGACACGGCCCAGACUCCUACGGGAGGCAGCAGUGGGGAAUAUUGCACAAUGGGCGCUAGCCUGAUGCAGCGACGCCGCGUGAGGGAUGGAGGCCUGCGGGUUGUGAACCUCUUUCGCCAGUGAAGCAGGCCUGCCUCGUUUGUGGGUGGGUUGACGGUAGCUGGAUAAGAAGCGCCGGCUAACUACGUG
rnacentral:rRNA from 1 species